rnacentral:rRNA from 1 species
UCGCGUCUGCUGUGAAAUCUGGAGGCUCAACCUCCAGCCUGCAGUGGGUACGGGCAGACUAGAGUGCGGUAGGGGAGAUUGGAAUUCCUGGUGUAGCGGUGGAAUGCGCAGAUAUCAGGAGGAACACCGAUGGCGAAGGCAGAUCUCUGGGCCGUUACUGACGCUGAGGAGCGAAAGGGUGGGGAGCAAACAGGCUUAGAUACCCUGGUAGUCCACCCCGUAAACGUUGGGAACUAGUUGUGGGGUCCAUUCCACGGAUUCCGUGACGCAGCUAACGCAUUAAGUUCCCCGCCUGGGGAGUACGGCCGCAAGGCUAAAACUCAAAGGAAUUGACGGGGACCCGCACAAGCGGCGGAGCAUGCGGAUUAAUUCGAUGCAACGCGAAGAACCUUACCAAGGCUUGACAUAUACGAGAACGGGCCAGAAAUGGUCAACUCUUUGGACACUCGUAAACAGGUGGUGCAUGGUUGUCGUCAGCUCGUGUCGUGAGAUGUUGGGUUAAGUCCCGCAACGAGCGCAACCCUCGUUCUAUGUUGCCAGCACGUAAUGGUGGGAACUCAUGGGAUACUGCCGGGGUCAACUCGGAGGAAGGUGGGGAUGACGUCAAAUCAUCAUGCCCCUUAUGUCUUGGGCUUCACGCAUGCUACAAUGGCCGGUACAAAGGGCUGCAAUACCGCGAGGUGGAGCGAAUCCCAAAAAGCCGGUCCCAGUUCGGAUUGAGGUCUGCAACUCGACCUCAUGAAGUCGGAGUCGCUAGUAAUCGCAGAUCAGCAACGCUGCGGUGAAUACGUUCCCGGGUCUUGUACACACCGCCCGUCAAGUCAUGAAAGUCGGUAACA